rnacentral:rRNA from 1 species
ACACAUGCAGUCGAACGAAGUAGCAAUACUUAGUGGCAGACGGGUGAGUAACAUGUAGGUAUCUGCCCUUUGGCCUGGAAUAACACGAGGAAACUUGUGCUAAUACCGGAUAAGUCUUUACGGAGAAAGCUUUAUGCACCAUUGGAUGAGCCUGCACUUGAUUAGUUUGUUGGUGGGGUAAUGGCCUACCAAGACUGUGAUCAAUAGCUGAUUUGAGAGGAUGAUCAGCCACAUUGGGACUGAGACACGGCCCAAACUCCUACGGGAGGCAGCAGUGGGGAAUCUUGCACAAUGGAGGAAACUCUGAUGCAGCGAUGCCGCGUGAGUGAAGAAGGCCCUUGGGUUGUAAAGCUCUUUCGUCGGGGAAGAAAAUGACUGUACCCGAAUAAGAAGGUCCGGCUAACUUCGUGCCAGCAGCCGCGGUAAUACGAAGGGACCUAGCGUAGUUCGGAAUUACUGGGCUUAAAGAGUUCGUAGGUGGUUGAAAUAGUUGGUGGUGAAAUCCCAGAGCUUAACUCUGGAACUGCCAUCAAAACUUUUCAGCUAGAGUAUGAUAGAGGAAAGCAGAAUUUCUAGUGUAGAGGUGAAAUUCGUAGAUAUUAGAAAGAAUACCGAUUGCGAAGGCAGCUUUCUGGAUCAUUACUGACACUGAGGAACGAAAGCAUGGGUAGCGAAGAGGAUUAGAUACCCUCGUAGUCCAUGCCGUAAACGAUGUGUGUUAGACGUUGGAAAUUUAUUUUCAGUGUCGCANGGAAACCGAUAAACACACCGCCUGGGGAGUACGACCGCAAGGUUAAAACUCAAAUGAAUUGACGGGGACCCGCACAAGUAGUGGAGCAUGUGGUUUAAUUCGAAGAUACGCGCAGAACCUUACCAACACUUGACAUGUUCGUCGCGACUCUAGAGAUUAGAGUUUUCGGUUCGGCCGGACGAAACACAGGUGCUGCAUGGCUGUCGUCAGCUCGUGUCGUG